GAAACCGAGUCUUAAUUGGGCGUUAAGUUGCAGGGUAUAGACCCGAAACCCGGUGAUCUAGCCAUGGGCAGGUUGAAGGUUGGGUAACACUAACUGGAGGACCGAACCGACUAAUGUUGAAAAAUUAGCGGAUGACCUGUGGCUGGGGGUGAAAGGCCAAUCAAACCGGGAGAUAGCUGGUUCUCCCCGAAAGCUAUUUAGGUAGCGCCUCGUGAAUUCAUCUCCGGGGGUAGAGCACUGUUUCGGCUAGGGGGCCAUCCCGGCUUACCAACCCGAUGCAAACUGCGAAUACCGGAGAAUGUUAUCACGGGAGACACACGGCGGGUGCUAACGUCCGUCGUGAAGAGGGAAACAACCCAGACCGCCAGCUAAGGUCCCAAAGUCAUGGUUAAGUGGGAAACGAUGUGGGAAGGCCCAGACAGCCAGGAUGUUGGCUUAGAAGCAGCCAUCAUUUAAAGAAAGCGUAAUAGCUCACUGGUCGAGUCGGCCUGCGCGGAAGAUGUAACGGGGCUAAACCAUGCACCGAAGCUGCGGCAGCGACACUGUGUGUUGUUGGGUAGGGGAGCGUUCUGUAAGCCUGCGAAGGUGGCCUGUGAGGGUUGCUGGAGGUAUCAGAAGUGCGAAUGCUGACAUAAGUAACGAUAAAGCGGGUGAAAAGCCCGCUCGCCGGAAGACCAAGGGUUCCUGUCCAACGUUAAUCGGGGCAGGGUGAGUCGACCCCUAAGGCGAGGCCGAAAGGCGUAGUCGAUGGGAAACGGGUUAAUAUUCCCGUACUUGGUGUUACUGCGAAGGGGGGACGGAGAAGGCUAUGUUGGCCGGGCGACGGUUGUCCCGGUUUAAGCGUGUAGGUGUGUGUUCCAGGUAAAUCCGGUUCACUUUAACACUGAGGCGUGACGACGAGGCACUACGGUGCUGAAGCAACAAAUGCCCUGCUUCCAGGAAAAGCCUCUAAGCAUCAGGUAACAUCAAAUCGUACCCCAAACCGACACAGGUGGUCAGGUAGAGAAUACCAAGGCGCUUGAGAGAACUCGGGUGAAGGAACUAGGCAAAAUGGUGCCGUAACUUCGGGAGAAGGCACGCUGACACGUAGGUGAAGUGAUUUACUCAUGGAGCUGAAGUCAGUCGAAGAUACCAGCUGGCUGCAACUGUUUAUUAAAAACACAGCACUGUGCAAACACGAAAGUGGACGUAUACGGUGUGACGCCUGCCCGGUGCCGGAAGGUUAAUUGAUGGGGUCAGCGCAAGCGAAGCUCCUGAUCGAAGCCCCGGUAAACGGCGGCCGUAACUAUAACGGUCCUAAGGUAGCGAAAUUCCUUGUCGGGUAAGUUCCGACCUGCACGAAUGGCGUAAUGAUGGCCAGGCUGUCUCCACCCGAGACUCAGUGAAAUUGAACUCGCUGUGAAGAUGCAGUGUACCCGCGGCAAGACGGAAAGACCCCGUGAACCUUUACUAUAGCUUGACACUGAACAUUGAGCCUUGAUGUGUAGGAUAGGUGGGAGGCUUUGAAGUGUGGACGCCAGUCUGCAUGGAGCCGACCUUGAAAUACCACCCUUUAAUGUUUGAUGUUCUAACGUGGACCCGUUACCCGGGUUGCGGACAGUGUCUGGUGGGUAGUUUGACUGGGGCGGUCUCCUCCUAAAGAGUAACGGAGGAGCACGAAGGUUGGCUAAUCCUGGUCGGACAUCAGGAGGUUAGUGCAAUGGCAUAAGCCAGCUUGACUGCGAGCGUGACGGCGCGAGCAGGUGCGAAAGCAGGUCAUAGUGAUCCGGUGGUUCUGAAUGGAAGGGCCAUCGCUCAACGGAUAAAAGGUACUCCGGGGAUAACAGGCUGAUACCGCCCAAGAGUUCAUAUCGACGGCGGUGUUUGGCACCUCGAUGUCGGCUCAUCACAUCCUGGGGCUGAAGUAGGUCCCAAGGGUAUGGCUGUUCGCCAUUUAAAGUGGUACGCGAGCUGGGUUUAGAACGUCGUGAGACAGUUCGGUCCCUAUCUGCCGUGGGCGCUGGAGAACUGAGGGGGGCUGCUCCUAGUACGAGAGGACCGGAGUGGACGCAUCACUGGUGUUCGGGUUGUCAUGCCAAUGGCACUGCCCGGUAGCUAAAUGCGGAAGAGAUAAGUGCUGAAAGCAUCUAAGCACGAAACUUGCCCCGAGAUGAGUUCUCCCUGAGACUUAAAGUCUCCUGAAGGAACGUUGAAGACGACGACGUUGAUAGGCCGGGUGUGUAAGCGCAGCGAUGCGUUGAGCUAACCGGUACUAAUGAACCGUGAGGCUUAACCUUACAACGCCGAAG
rnacentral:rRNA from 1 species